AUUGAACGCUGGCGGCAUGCUUUACACAUGCAAGUCGGACGAGUGGCGAACGGGUGAGUAACGCAUCGGAACGUACCGAGUAAUGGGGGAUAACUGUCCGAAAGGACAGCUAAUACCGCAUAUUCUUCGAACGGCCGAUGUCUGAUUAGCUGGUUGGCGGGGUAAAGGCGCACAAAGGCAACGAUCAGUAUCGGGUCUGAGAGGGUGAUCAGCAAGACUGGGACUGAGAAAAGGCAGAGACUCCUCCGGGAGGAAGAAGUGGGUAAUUUUGGACAAUGGGCGCAAGCCGGUUACAGCCAUGCCGGGUGUCUGAAGAAGGCCUUCGGGUGGGAAAGGACUUUUGUCAGGGAAGCGGUACCUGAAGAAGAAGCACCGGCUAACUACGUGCCAGCAGCCGCGGUAAUUC
rnacentral:rRNA from 1 species